rnacentral:rRNA from 1 species
AGUGAACGCUGGCGGUAGGCCUAACACAUGCAAGUCGAACGGCAGCACAGUAAGAGCUUGCUCUUACGGGUGGCGAGUGGCGGACGGGUGAGGAAUACAUCGGAAUCUACUUUUUCGUGGGGGAUAACGUAGGGAAGCUUACGCUAAUACCGCAUACGACCUACGGGUGAAAGCAGGGGAUCUUCGGACCUUGCGCGAUUGAAUGAGCCGAUGUCGGAUUAGCUAGUUGGCGGGGUAAAGGCCCACCAAGGCGACGAUCCGUAGCUGGUCUGAGAGGAUGAUCAGCCACACUGGAACUGAGACACGGUCCAGACUCCUACGGGAGGCAGCAGUGGGGAAUAUUGGACAAUGGGCGCAGGCCUGAUCCAGCCAUACCGCGUGGGUGAAGAAGGCCUUCGGGUUGUAAAGCCCUUUUGUUGGGAAAGAAAAGCAGCAGGUUAAUACCCCGCUGUUCUGACGGUACCCAAAGAAUAAGCACCGGCUAACUUCGUG